rnacentral:rRNA from 1 species
AAUGGGUCAGCGACUUAUAUUCUGUAGCAAGGUUAACCGAAUAGGGGAGCCGAAGGGAAACCGAGUCUUAACUGGGCGUUAAGUUGCAGGGUAUAGACCCGAAACCCGGUGAUCUAGCCAUGGGCAGGUUGAAGGUUGGGUAACACUAACUGGAGGACCGAACCGACUAAUGUUGAAAAAUUAGCGGAUGACUUGUGGCUGGGGGUGAAAGGCCAAUCAAACCGGGAGAUAGCUGGUUCUCCCCGAAAGCUAUUUAGGUAGCGCCUCGUGAAUUCAUCUCCGGGGGUAGAGCACUGUUUCGGCAAGGGGGUCAUCCCGACUUACCAACCCGAUGCAAACUGCGAAUACCGGAGAAUGUUAUCACGGGAGACACACGGCGGGUGCUAACGUCCGUCGUGAAGAGGGAAACAACCCAGACCGCCAGCUAAGGUCCCAAAGUCAUGGUUAAGUGGGAAACGAUGUGGGAAGGCCCAGACAGCCAGGAUGUUGGCUUAGAAGCAGCCAUCAUUUAAAGAAAGCGUAAUAGCUCACUGGUCGAGUCGGCCUGCGCGGAAGAUGUAACGGGGCUAAACCAUGCACCGAAGCUGCGGCAGCGACGCUUAUGCGUUGUUGGGUAGGGGAGCGUUCUGUAAGCCUGCGAAGGUGUGCUGUGAGGCAUGCUGGAGGUAUCAGAAGUGCGAAUGCUGACAUAAGUAACGAUAAAGCGGGUGAAAAGCCCGCUCGCCGGAAGACCAAGGGUUCCUGUCCAACGUUAAUCGGGGCAGGGUGAGUCGACCCCUAAGGCGAGGCCGAAAGGCGUAGUCGAUGGGAAACAGGUUAAUAUUCCUGUACUUGGUGUUACUGCGAAGGGGGGACGGAGAAGGCUAUGUUGGCCGGGCGACGGUUGUCCCGGUUUAAGCGUGUAGGCUGGUUUUCCAGGCAAAUCCGGAAAAUCAAGGCUGAGGCGUGAUGACGAGGCACUACGGUGCUGAAGCAACAAAUGCCCUGCUUCCAGGAAAAGCCUCUAAGCAUCAGGUAACAUCAAAUCGUACCCCAAACCGACACAGGUGGUCAGGUAGAGAAUACCAAGGCGCUUGAGAGAACUCGGGUGAAGGAACUAGGCAAAAUGGUGCCGUAACUUCGGGAGAAGGCACGCUGAUAUGUAGGUGAAGUCCCUCGCGGAUGGAGCUGAAAUCAGUCGAAGAUACCAGCUGGCUGCAACUGUUUAUUAAAAACACAGCACUGUGCAAACACGAAAGUGGACGUAUACGGUGUGACGCCUGCCCGGUGCCGGAAGGUUAAUUGAUGGGGU